AGGUUUGAUUUGGUAAUUUCUUAUCCAAUGAUUCAUCAUUGUGGUUGAUUUUAUGCAUUUAUUUUGUUGAUAUUGAAUAGGUAAGAAUUACGUAAAGUGUUUUCGUUUGUGUUUGAUCUUCUUUUUCGCUGGAUCAAUAGGCAAUUUUGUUGUAGUUGAUGAGAGUGGUAGAGAAGAAGCUACUGAAUCAGGUAGAAAAGUGGGAUGUGUUGUUACACAGGUUCUCUAUUAUGAUCAAGUUCGUGUGCUUCAAAAAUCACCAGAAUGGUGAGACUUUGAAAUUCAAUCAUCUAUUUCUUUUCGCCUUUUUUAUGGAUUUUGGGAAAGAGCAGGGGAUUGUUUUCAUUCUAAAAUCUCUUUUGAACUGGAAAAGAAGUAGGGUCAUCAUGGUCGAUGAGUCGAUUUUUAAAUCUCUAUCGAAAUGGAUAAAUUGUUUCUAGCUUGUGAGCUGUGAACGUGCAACUAGCAUAUUUUACAAAGAUUGUUGAGCUUAAGAAUGAUCAGUGAUGUAUGGAAACAGGAGAUAAUCUCCUUAUGAUGAUUUGAAGUUGUAUUCUUAUGCUUUUAACUCUCAUAUGGGUUGUAGGAAUAUCGGAUAUACAACAUUUUAAAUUUUUGUGUUUUAACAUCCACCUUCGACCUUGUUCUAGCAAGUCUGUAGGUUUUUCUGUUACAUUGUAAUAUGUCAAUCAGCUUACAUACAGAUGAAGCCUCUCAGUCACUACUCCGCGGAGUAUGUUUAGUGUUGAUUUUGACGCAGUUUGUCAUUUAUAUUUCCAACGGGCUAACUUCAGUGAUACUUUGGUCUGCCACGUAAUAUUUGCAAAAUAGAGGGUAACUUUUUGUGGGUUCGGCCCUAAUUGAGACAUCACACUUCCUCACGACAUUCCUCUAGCUAAGACGUAAUGACUUCAAUCCACUGUGCAGUGCUGUCCAAUUGGCUGGCCAGAGAUCUUCAAAUCCACAGCAGUAGAGAGUUCGAAACAGGAUAAUACGCAAUCACAGAAUUUCCAGAUGAAUGAAAGUGAAGACUCAAGUGAUGAUGGACUCCCUCCAUUAGAAGCCAAUACGAACAGAUUAAAUCCCUUUCAACAGGAGUCGGAAACAGAGUCUGAUUCAGAUACCGAUCCCUGAUCCAUGUUUUGCUACAUUUGUCACUUCAUUUCUUUUUUGCAUAUGAGAGUAGGUGUAAAGACAUUUAGUAUGUGGCAGUCCAUUGUUAUGAAUUAAGGUCAAUGAGCACAUACUAAUGUCUGAUUAGCUUUUUUGCCUAAUGUUGAUAAAAAUUUGUGAUGCAAGAUAUGUUACUGUAUUUCCUUUGGAUGUUUGACGAUUUUGAUAUGUUUUACUUGAGUUGAGGGUCUA